rnacentral:lncRNA from 1 species
CUCUGGGUUUUCAGACUUGGACGAGAAUGGCUGGCUCUGUGGGAGCCCCCAACUCAGGUUUUAGGGGGAUGACAGCAAGGAGCGGGUUUGGGGCAACUCCAAUUCAGGCUUUGGGAGUAGUCAAAGAGAGGACUGACUAGUUUGAGGGCGCCUCCGUGUUUCAGGUGUUGUGGAGUAAGAGACAAGGAGGGGUCUUCUGGAGUCCCCGCUCCUCAAAGUCAGAUUUAGUGCGUCAAAGGCGAGAAGAGAUCGCUUCACUUUACAAACUUUUGAGAGUGUGAGAGGGGUUCCACCCAGCCCAGGGCUCCCCCAAAUCAGAGGCGCCUAUCAGGACUGGAUGAGGUUGGCGUCUGCAAAGUUGGGGCGCCGGGUCCCGCCGCGCCCGCCCCCGCGACCCCCCUCCAGCGGGGGCUCCCCCCCAUCCGCCACCGCCCCCUGCCCCGGCCCGCACCGCUCACCUGGAGUUCGGCAGGGAGUUCCGGUAGCGGCUCCCGCGGCGUCGGCCGCUGCGUGUCGCUCCGCGUUGAUUGUUGUCAAUGCGUGUGCAUGCAAUGCGCAUGAAGACCCGAAGAGAGCGUUGGAUCGCCCUGGAACCAGAGUGACCGUCUGCUAUGAGCCGCCUAAUUGAGCGGGGACCGAUCUCGGGUCCUCUGCAAGAGCAGAAGCCUCCUCUCCAGCGCUUCUCCGUUUUUUUUGUUUUUGUUUUUUGUUUUUUUUUUUUUUUGAGCCGGUGUCCUGUAUACACUCACUACACCGCUUAAGCUGGCCUCCAACACCUGAUUUUCCUGGCUCCACCUCCCUAGUGCUGGGAUGAGAUGAUGGGUGUGUGUUCACCAGUCCUGGCUAAGCUGACAACUCCUCACCCACCCCAUCUCGCUUCUCUGUCCUCUCUGGUUCAUAUAUAUAUAUAUGUAUACAGGUCUCAAUGUGGACUCUUCAUAAAGCUUAUAUUUUGGUGGGAUGACACAAACAGAAUGAAAAGUUAACGCAAAAGGAAAGGUUUGAACCCAGAGACCCAAGUGCGGAGGAGCUGUCAGACCAUAGCUCCAUUCAUUCAUUCAUUGAACGUCCAAUUGCACCAGUGAACAUGGGUAAUUUGGGCUUAUGUGCCCAAAGCGAUGAGUCAGGGUCUUGCUAAGUAGUCCAAGCUAGACUAGAUUCCCACUAUGUAGUCCAAGUUAAUGUUCUUUUUGUCUUAGGUCCUUGACUACUAGGGUGAGAGGCAGGUGCCACCAAGCAUUUGUGCACAAUCUAACUCAUGAAAUCCUGAACUUAGGCCGUGAGAAAGGCAGUAGACGCUGCCUCUAGGACUGGAGUUUCCAAAAUAAAUAUAUUGGAGCAACUGGAAGCCUGGUGCCA